CGGCGCUGAGGAGACGGCAGGCCUGACGCACGUGAUGCAGAGUAUACGCUAUUCUGAGCCGGCG